rnacentral:sRNA from 1 species
GCUGGGUGUGGUGGCCCACACCUGUAAUCCCAGUGGCUCCUGGAGGCUGAGACAGGAGGAUCCUGAGUUCAAAGCUAGCCUUACCAAUGGCCAGGUGGGCGCUAAGCAAUUCAGUGACACCCUGUCUCUA